GCGGUCGUCCUCACGUGCUGUCGGCACAGGCUUCACGGCCUUUCGCUCUUCAUUUCGUACCAGCCAGCAUGUGCUUUUCACAUCCACUAAAACCAUUUCUUCCACUGUCACAAAGGAACUCUGUGUUGGCCGCUCCACAGGCAGAUUCUUUACCACUGAGCCUCCAAGGAAGCGCAUCAUCAACUGAGUCAUCUCAAACAAAACCAUCCAGGCUCCAACAGGCAGUGGUUGUAAAGUGGUUUUAGUCUGGUUCCAGUCGUUUUAGGAGAAGGUAUUUUGGAUCUGUGGAAGAUAUAGAAGCUAAAUGGUCUCACGGCAACACAUCUGUGGUCGGAUACUCCUGCCCACUCUCAGCUGGUGUUCUGCAAGCACUUCUCUGUUUCUGAAGAUGUAUUCUGAUAUAUCCAGGGAGAGAGAUGUACUCCAUGUCCACCUACUCCUUCGCCAUCUUGUUCCUG